rnacentral:rRNA from 1 species
AUCGAUGAAGAACGCAGCGAAAUGCGAUAAGUAAUGUGAAUUGCAGAAUUCAGUGAAUCAUCGAAUCUUUGAACGCACCUUGCGCUCCCUGGUAUUCCGGGGAGCACGCCUGUUCGAGCGUCAUGAAGCUCUCAAACAUAUACUUUUCUUUAUUGCGAAGUAUAUGGUUGGAUUUGGACUCUGCUGUGUAACAAACGGCUGGUCCGAAAGAUAUUAGCUGAUCCUAGUGAGACUUGGUUCUACUCGGCGUGAUAAUUAUCUAACGUCGAGGACAUCGCAAGAUGGCCAGAUCGAAACUUUAUGGAUUGCUUCUAAUCGUCUUCAUCGACAAAUUUUAUCAAUCUGACCUCGAAUCAGGUGGGACUACCCGCUGAACUUAAGCAUAUCAAUAAGCGGAGGAAAAGAAACUAACAAGGAUUCCCCUAGUAACGGCGAGUGAAGCGGGAUGAGCUCAAAUUUAAAAUCUGGUGUCCUUUGGGCAUCCGAGUUGUAGUCUAGAGAAGCAUUUUCCGUGUCGGACCAUGUACAAGUCUCCUGGAACGGAGCGUCAUAGAGGGUGAGAAUCCCGUUCUUGACAUGGACCCCCGAUGCUAUGUGAUGUGCUCUCAAAGAGUCGAGUUGUUUGGGAUUGCAGCUCAAAAUGGGAGGUAAAUUCCUUCUAAAGCUAAAUAUUGGCGAGAGACCGAUAGCGAACAAGUACCGUGAGGGAAAGAUGAAAAGCACUUUGGAAAGAGAGUUAAACAGUACGUGAAAUUGUUAAAAGGGAAACGAUUGAAGUCAGUCGCGUCUACUUGGACUCAGCCUUACCUCGGUUUGGUGCAUUUCCUUGUAGACGGGCCAGCGUCGAUGUUAGUUGCUGGAAAAAGGUGUAGGGAAUGUGGCUCUUUCGGGAGUGUUAUAGCCCUAUGUCAUAUGCAGUGACCGGUAUCGAGUGUAACAGCACGCUUUUGCGGUGCUUGUGCUGGCGUAAUGGCUUUAAACGACCCGUCUUGAAACACGG